UUCCUGGUGGUACAGUGGUUAGGACUCAGCAUUCUCACUGCUGGGGCCUGGGUUCAGUCCCUGGUCAGGGAA
rfam:Ovis aries breed Texel chromosome 3, whole genome shotgun sequence.